GCCCCGGAGUACAGGUACAGGACGUUGCCAGUUGCAUCUCUCUCUGACCUAAAGCCCGCCUUGGCAUGGAUGUGACCAGUGUUGAUCACCAACAUUGGCAAGCAUUGUAAGGUCCCUCUUUUUAUGUUUCUGGUACAAUAUACCACAUAUAUGUUCACAUGCAGAAGAUAAAGAUCGACUAUUAUCGGCGGUUAUUUUACUUAGUUGUAGAUAUUGAAUAGUUUGUUUAAAAUUAUGAUAGUUUAAAAGAAGUAUUAUGGUGUAGUGCAGUAAUAAUUUUAAUUUAAACUGCAGACCUUACAUCAUAUAUUUUUUUGUGUAUGUGGGCAGUGUGUUCAAGUUGAUCUGGAACAAUUUGAAGGGUUUCCUUGACACAAAAUCUCCAGCCAAGGUUUACUUAAGCACCUCAAAUUAUGUAUAGAAGUUUAAAAUUGUAAUUGUUUCAGGUUCUUCGCCACAUUCUGUAUGCUUUGUUAAUUUUUUUAAUAAUUGGACCUAUUUGCUAUGUGGAACAUGUAGCAUUUACUUGAUCAUAAUCUAAUUCAAUUUUUGACCACCGUCUUUUGGCUCUUGCUUUCAACAAUAUGCAGUAUCGGUUAGUCAUUUUCUUGACACAACACUUUUAGGCAACGGCUCAGACUUCUUGAGCCAUUCUCUAUUUAUUUUCGAUUCAUUUUUCAAAAUAAACAACCAAUGUUUCCUCCAUAUAUGCAUGACUCAAUGACACAAUGAAUUUUUUCCAGUCAACUGAUCAUCCUAAGCCUCAUCCUGUAUUCAAUACAUUUAUGUUCCAUUGCUAACCAAUGUUCAUUUGUGAUGUCUUUUCUUAGGAUGGAAAUGUUCCUCGGCACCAUGACGAACAUCAACGGAGGAACAACCUUUUUAUUUUAUUUUCUGUUGCCUCUACUGUAUUGUUGCUGCCACAAAGAUUUACCUGGACACGGAGCCAUCAUGAUGUGUUUAAAAAUGAUUACAUUAUCCUUUUCUAACCUGUUGGUGUUAGAGACAUCUUAGCAUUCAAGCAGGUUUAGUUCAUUGUUCUUUAAUUCCUAUUAUGUAAAAAAAUCACUGAUCAUCGCUUGACAGAAAAUAUUUUGAUAUGC
rnacentral:lncRNA from 1 species